CAGAUUGAACGCUGGCGGCAGGCCUAACACAUGCAAGUCGAACGGUAACAGGAAGCAGCUUGCUGUUUCGCUGACGAGUGGCGGACGGGUGAGUAAUGUCUGGGAAACUGCCUGAUGGAGGGGGAUAACUACUGGAAACGGUAGCUAAUACCGCAUAACGUCGCAAGACCAAAGAGGGGGACCUUCGGGCCUCUUGCCAUCGGAUGUGCCCAGAUGGGAUUAGCUAGUAGGUGGGGUAACGGCUCACCUAGGCGACGAUCCCUAGCUGGUCUGAGAGGAUGACCAGCCACACUGGAACUGAGACACGGUCCAGACUCCUACGGGAGGCAGCAGUGGGGAAUAUUGCACAAUGGGCGCAAGCCUGAUGCAGCCAUGCCGCGUGUAUGAAGAAGGCCUUCGGGUUGUAAAGUACUUUCAGCGGGGAGGAA
rnacentral:rRNA from 1 species